rnacentral:rRNA from 1 species
ACUCAAAGGAAUAGACGGGGACCCGCACAAGCGGUGGAGCAUGUGGAUUAAUUCGAGGCAACGCGAAGAACCUUACCAAGGCUUGACAUGGAGACGAAAGGCUUAGAAAUAAGCCCUCCCUACGGGGCGGCUCACACAGGUGGUGCAUGGUUGUCGUCAGCUCGUGUCGUGAGAUGUUGGGUUAAGUCCCGCAACGAGCGCAACCCUUAUGUUUAGUAGCCAGCGGGUAAAGCCGGGCACACUAGAGAUACUGCCGUGGAAACACGGAGGAAGGCGGGGAUGAGGUCAAAUCAUCAUGCCCCUUAUGUCUUGGGCGUCACACGUGCUACAAUGGUUCGAACAAAGUGAAGCAAUGCAGUGAUGCGGAGCAAAACACAAAAACGGGCCCCAGUUCGGAUUGCAGGCUGCAACCCGCCUGCAUGAAGUUGGAAUCGCUAGUAAUCGCGAAUCAGCAUGUCGCGGUGAAUACGUUCCCGGGUCUUGCACACACCGCCCGU